rnacentral:rRNA from 1 species
UUGGUGGGGUGAUGGCCUACCAAGGCGACGACGGGUAGCCGGCCUGAGAGGGCGACCGGCCACACUGGGACUGAGACACGGCCCAGACUCCUACGGGAGGCAGCAGUGGGGAAUAUUGCACAAUGGGCGGAAGCCUGAUGCAGCGACGCCGCGUGAGGGAUGACGGCCUUCGGGUUGUAAACCUCUUUCGACAGGGACGAAGCGUGAGUGACGGUACCUGGAGAAGAAGCGCCGGCCAACUACGUGCCAGCAGCCGCGGUAAGACGUAGGGCGCGAGCGUUGUCCGGAUUUAUUGGGCGUAAAGAGCUCGUAGGCGGCUUGUUGCGUCGACUGUGAAAACCCGCGGCUUAACCGCGGGCCUGCAGUCGAUACGGGCAGGCUAGAGUUCGGUAGGGGAGACUGGAAUUCCUGGUGUAGCGGUGAAAUGCGCAGAUAUCAGGAGGAACACCGGUGGCGAAGGCGGGUCUCUGGGCCGAUACUGACGCUGAGGAGCGAAAGCGUGGGGAGCGAACAGGAUUAGAUACCCUGGUAGUCCACGCUGUAAACGUUGGGCGCUAGGUGUGGGGGGCCUCUCCGGUUCUCUGUGCCGCAGCUAACGCAUUAAGCGCCCCGCCUGGGGAGUACGG